UGGCUCAGAUUGAACGCUGGCGGCAGGCCUAACACAUGCAAGUCGAGCGGCAGCGACAACAUUGAACCUUCGGGGGAUUUGUUGGGCGGCGAGCGGCGGACGGGUGAGUAAUGCUUGGGAAUAUGCCUUAUGGUGGGGGACAACAGUUGGAAACGACUGCUAAUACCGCAUGAUGUCUWCGGACCAAAGUGGGGGACCUUCGGGCCUCACGCCAUAAGAUUAGCCCAAGUGGGAUUAGCUAGUUGGUGAGGUAAUGGCUCACCAAGGCGACGAUCCCUAGCUGGUUUGAGAGGAUGAUCAGCCACACUGGGACUGAGACACGGCCCAGACUCCUACGGGAGGCAGCAGUGGGGAAUAUUGCACAAUGGGCGCAAGCCUGAUGCAGCCAUGCCGCGUGUGUGAAGAAGGCCUUCGGGUUGUAAAGCACUUUCAGUAAGGAGGAAAGGUUAGUCACUAAUAUUGGCUAGCUGUGACGUUACUUACAGAAGAAGCACCGGCUAACUCCGUGCCAGCAGCCGCGGUAAUACGGAG
rnacentral:rRNA from 2 species